GCGGAUUUAGCUCAUUUGGUAGAGCGCCACCUUGCCAAGGUGGAGGUAGCGGGUUCGA
rnacentral:tRNA from 1 species